rnacentral:rRNA from 1 species
ACAUGAAGCUGGAAUCGCUAGUAAUCGCGAAUCAGAAUGUCGCGGUGAAUACGUUCCCGGGUCUUGUACACACCGCCCGUCACACCAUGGGAGUCAGUAACGCCCGAAGUCAGUGACCGAACCUGAGAGGGAAGGAGCUGCCGAAGGCGGGACGGAUAACUGGGGUGAAGUCGUAACAAGGUAAC